rnacentral:rRNA from 1 species
GACGAACGCUGGCGGCGUGCCUAAUACAUGCAAGUUGAGCGCUGAAGGUUGGUACUUGUACCAACUGGAUGAGCAGCGAACGGGUGAGUAACGCGUGGGGAAUCUGCCUUUGAGCGGGGGGCAACAUUUGGAAACGAAUGCUAAUACCGCAUAAAAACUUUAAACACAAGUUUUAAGUUUGAAAGAUGCAAUUGCAUCACUCAAAGAUGAUCCCGCGUUGUAUUAGCUAGUUGGUGAGGUAAAGGCUCACCAAGGCGAUGAUACAUAGCCGACCUGAGAGGGGGAUCGGCCACAUUGGGACUGAGACACGGCCCAAACUCCUACGGGAGGCAGCAGUAGGGAAUCUUCGGCAAUGGACGAAAGGCUGACCGAGCAACGCCGCGUGAGUGAAGAAGGUUGUCGGAUCGUAAAAAUCUGUUGGUAGAGAAGAACGUUGGUGAGAGUGGAAAGCUCAUCAAGUGACGGUAACUACCCAGAAAGGGACGGCUAACUACGUG